rnacentral:tRNA from 1 species
CGGGGUGUAGCGCAGCCUGGUAGCGCACUUGCUUCGGGAGCAAGGAGUCGCUGGUUCAAAUCCAGUCACCCCGA